rnacentral:rRNA from 1 species
CAUAUCAAUAAGCGGAGGAAAAGAAACUAACAAGGAUUCCCCUAGUAACUGCGAGUGAAGCGGGAAAAGCUCAAAUUUAAAAUCUGGCAGCCUUUGGUUGUCCGAGUUGUAAUCUAGAGAAGUGUUAUCCGCGCUGGACCGUGUACAAGUCUCCUGGAAUGGAGCGUCAUAGAGGGUGAGAAUCCCGUCUUUGACACGGACUGCCAGGGCUUUGUGAUGCGCUCUCAAAGAGUCGAGUUGUUUGGGAAUGCAGCUCAAAAUGGGUGGUAAAUUCCAUCUAAAGCUAAAUAUUGGCGAGAGACCGAUAGCGAACAAGUACCGUGAGGGAAAGAUGAAAAGAACUUUGGAAAGAGAGUUAAACAGUACGUGAAAUUGCUGAAAGGGAAACGCUUGAAGUCAGUCGCGUUGUCCAGGGAUCAACCUUGCUUUUGCUUGGUGCACUUUCUGGUUGACGGGUCAGCAUCAAUUUUGACUAUUGGAAAAAGAUUAGGGGAAUGUGGCAUCUUUGGAUGUGUUAUAGCCCUUAGUUGCAUACAAUGGUUGGGAUUGAGGAACUCAGCACGCCGCAAGGCCGGGUUUUUAACCACGUACGUGCUUAGGAUGCUGGCAUAAUGGCUUUAAUCGACCCGUCUUGAAACACGGACCAAGGAGUCUAACAUGCCUGCGAGUGUUUGGGUGGAAAACCCGAGCGCGUAAUGAAAGUGAAAGUUGAGAUCCCUGUCGUGGGGAGCAUCGACGCCCGGACCAGACCUUUUGUGACGGUUCCGCGGUAGAGCAUGUAUGUUGGGACCCGAAAGAUGGUGAACUAUGCCUGAAUAGGGUGAAGCCAGAGGAAACUCUGGUGGAGGCUCGUAGCGAUUCUGACGUGCAAAUCGAUCGUCAAAUUUGGGUAUAGGGGCGAAAGACUAAUCGAACCAUCUAGUAGCUGG